GGCAUGAUGGCCGAGCGGUCUAAGGCGCCAGAAUCAGGCUGACGUAAUCUGGUCCUUCGGGGCGGGAGUUCGAAUCUCCCUCAUGUCA